UACGUAGGAUGCAAGCGUUGUCCGGAAUUAUUGGGCGUAAAGAGUUCGUAGGUGGUUAUCUAAGUCUGGUGUUAAAGACGGGAGCUCAACUCCCGCAUGGCAUCGGAAACUGGAUGGCUAGAGUGUGAAAGAGGUAACUGGAAUUCCUGGUGUAGCGGUGAAAUUCGUAGAUAUUGGGAAGAACACCGGUGGCGAAGGCGGCGACCUGGUCCGGCACUGACGCUGAGACGCGAAAGCGUGGGGAGCGAACAGG
rnacentral:rRNA from 1 species